UUUUGCAACGAAUCAAUAUUUUCAAGGAAGCAAUAAUUAUUUGAGUUCGAGAGCGUUACGUCAUGACGUGCGAUAUACAAGCGGUACGUAGGUACCGGACGCGUAUCCGACUCAGACUUCGAUUCGCGGGCCGUUACGCAACUGUUCCACAUCGGUUAUCGAGAGCGGGGCCAAGAGUGAACUUCUCGAUGUCAUCGGACGUCCAAUGGUUUAAGGUGUUCCGGCGGCGCAACAUUCAUUUUUGUCCGUAAUAGAUGUGCGUUUCUGCGUUACGGUCCGUGUGUCAGGAUGGCCAUGACCAGCUGUCGUGAUCACUUUUAAUGCUUGCACGUGCCGGUGUGCUGUGAUUGAAUGGACGUUCCUGUUUUGUGAAUUCACCGUUGUGCGUUCAGCCGCGUUGUUGUUGUCUAUCAUCCCGCAUCAAACCUGCGUUGAAACUAUUUGACUGGAGGGACUCGAGAUGACUCAUAGAGCACCUCAAAUCCCCAUGAUCACUGAUCACACUAAGACAUUACUGAAUACUCACCAAAACCCAAGCCUACAAAAACUGGUUGGCGCCCGUGUCCGCUUCUAAACGUGAAUGGAGUAAAGUUUAUUCAUAUCCAAGCCAUGUUUUACAACAGAAGACAAAAUAGAAGUUGAUUUGAGAAUUAUCCACACUUUUGGCAGCUAGCUUAUCUACAUAUUCUUGACAAAUCAGUCUACUACACACCCAUCCAGCUACGUAGCCUAUCGCACAAGCCUAUUCUCCAUUAGUAUAUUUUAAAUAUUCAUUGAAGAUAAAUCUCGCUGUAUUUAUUCAAGAACUGUAUUGCAUCACACUCAACUUCAAAAUGUCCACUUUUGGACGGUUUCAAUAAAGUAUUGCACAUGCACAUAUGGAUCGCCGAAUGAAAUUUUGUAGCGCCAGGUGUGACAUUUUUACCUCCUUUUGACCUUACUAUUGGAAACUCAUUUUCUACACAGUCUUGUGUUAGUCUUCUUGUUGAUAAAAUAACUAUUUUAUACUUUCCAUUUAAUUUGUUAUAUAACAUUUACAAAGCACUAAUAUUUUCUUUCCAACCUACUAUGAAUCGCGGUAUUUUACCAUUUUUAUUGUGGACUUUAACUUUUCCCAAUACCUUCAUUCAAAAAAUAUUUCAAUGAUCAGAAGUUUUAGUCAUAUCUUAUACUUUUGCCUCACUGUGUGUUCUACUGGUAAAAACAUCAAAUUCUAAAUUCAAAAUUCUAUAAAUGUUGCUGUAUGUAUAGCUGAACUUUUCAUUUCGUUCAAUGAAAUUAAAGUCACCAUACCAAAACUAACAGAAUGGUUUAAUGUUUGGGUUGCUAAACAAACACGCAUUGGUGAGAAUGGCGAUAGAUCCAUGGGAAUUUUGUUUAAACGAGGAGCUAACCUUGGCUUUUUGUUUUUGUCUAAAUUAUUAAAAAUCUGCUAGAUCUGACCAACUACAAGAAUCAUUAACAAAACUAAAAUUGUAUUUUUUUAGAUUAUUUUUCACUGAUUUAAUUAG
rnacentral:lncRNA from 1 species